rnacentral:tRNA from 1 species
GGAGGGAUGCCCGAGUGGCUAAAGGGAUCAGACUGUAAAUCUGACGGUGAAUACCUACGGUGGUUCAAAUCCACCUCCCUCCA